UUAUGGAUUUGUCCCCAGUCAAUCCUCCCUGAUCAUAUGUGUGGUGGGUGUGUGUGUAUCUGCCUUCUGCAGGAUGCUUCCCACAACAGCUGUCUCGCACCAAGGGACCUAUUUGCUGCUAAGCAAACAGGAGCAUGAGCAGUCUUGAAGCUCGAAUGUGCCUGAGAUAUGAAGGUGGUGAUGGGACCACUGGUGGACCGAUGAUUGGAGUCAUACCCUGCCGAGCAGAAGGUGGUGGGAGAUGUUCCAGAUGUGCUACUUGAGUUACCAAGAUGAGCGUGUGGAGAGGUGCGGGCUGGGCGAAACAGAGCAAUGGUGAAUUAUCUAUUUAUGAUGUAGCAGCAUGUGUGGAGGCCAACCAACGCCACACUGCAGAGUAACGGAAGAGGCUGUGACCUGCAGGCGAGUGUGAUAUGUUCAUUUCAACACAUCUUCCUAAAAGAAUUUAGUUACGUAGUCCAUAAAACUGAAAUCCAAGUAAUAGUAAAUAUCAUUCUGCAGGUGGAGUGGCGCUUGGUUUCAUAACCCAGUGCAUGUCCCAUUUCAAAACUGGCCCAUGAGGCACCUGCUUCCCAAGCUGUCUCGUUUUUAGAACAGUGCAUGGCCGUGUAUUUGAGAUAUUAAUGGUGAUAAGGAAUGUUUAUCGUAUAUGAAUGUUCAGAAUGCUGAAUAGAAUAUAGUUUCGCAGUUGACACGCUUGACUACCCUAGAGGUGGAUGACGUUGGUACCAUCCUGUGUGGUUACUCUAGGGACAACCUCCAGCUGUUGAAGGAUCAAGUUUCACUCUUCCAUACAAGCCGAGUGGAGAGAUAAGCAUCAUGGUUGAUUGGUACAGCGAAUCCGAGCGUGGAACAGCGCGUGGCAAAAUCACCAGUGGAUUUUGAACUGUGGCUGUGCUUCCGUAGUAGGUGGACGAAAGAUUAAAGACGAGGAUCACGCGACCACACCUAAGGGGAUGGCGGGCGACGCACCCCCCGCGGUGAAGAAGACAAGGGCGGCGUCAAGACGAGGACAGGGACGAAUGGGCGCAACCGGCCAGGGUGAAACCAGCUCGCUUCGCCUCCUCCUCGGAGGCCUCUUCGGCUGGCUCUGACUGGGACGGCGACCACAUCCACGAUGCACGCAUAACCGGCGUGGCCAGGGGGGGCGGGCGCCGACUGGGCAACGCUGCAGACGCUCAUUGCUCAGGCUCGGAGGCCCCCCCCCCCCCCCC